rnacentral:tRNA from 1 species
UCCCAGGUGGCCUAGAGGUUAGGGACUCUGCAUUGCCACUGCUGUGGCUCAGGUUCAAUCCCUGGCCCAGGAA